GAGGGGGAACACCCUCCACGGUCUUGGGAGAACAAGUGGAAUUGCUAAUCGUGGUCCAUUAGGAUGGAGACACUGGGAUACGAUUAUUUCCCACACGAUUAAUUAACUGCUCCCA
ensembl:ncRNA M03F4.10 ncRNA